rnacentral:lncRNA from 1 species
UGGUCAAAAUUCCAUAGCAUGAUAAUGGUAAAGCAGUGUGCUAAGAGAUGCUCCAGGUCAAACCACAGACCGGUUUAUCAGGAGACAUUACAUUGUUCCUGAACUAGUAAGUUCUUAGAACUAAGCAGUAAUCACAAUGUCAAAUAAAAAGUCAAGAGAAAAAAAUUACCAUUGAAAAUCGAAAUGUAGCAGACUUACUACUUCAGCUUCAGACGUUCUCCUUUGUCUCAACUGCUGUUUAGAAUGUUAGGAUGACUUGAAUUUCUACUCAAAAUCUUUUUCCUGAAAUAGGCAUUUAUUCCAUCUCAGUCGGAAAAGAACAUGUUCUUUUGGGUAGAGAUGUGAAAGGGGGUCUACUUUCUGAACCAUGCAGCAAAUUAAUUCAACUACCAAUAAGCUAUGGCCUCUGUGAAGAUAACAAUUCAGAAAAUUUCUUGGCUUUCAGGUAUGUGACAUUUUUCUUAAGUGAGCUUCCUCAUAACUUUCGAAAUAACCAACUUCACUCUUAUGCCUCAACUUUUUGACAAGUAAUGGAUGUCAUUUGCUCAAAGUUUUUCUUUACUAUUAUGAGAUAUCUUGUAAUAUGGAAAAGUAUUAGGAGAAACAUUUGUGUCUGCUCCUGUGGCUCAACUUAAGUUGGAAGAUGAAAUAGAAAACUUAUUUUUCUCAAUUCCAAGAAAAAUUUUUAUCAAAAAUUUAUUUUUAAUUUUGAGUUCCAAAUUCUAUCACUUUUCUCUUUCUCCCCUCCUCCUUGAGAAAAUAAGCAGGCUGAUUUAGGUUAUAUGUGCCAUGCAAAACUUAUUUCCAUAUUAGUCAUGUUGCAAAAUAAAACAUAGUCCAAAACAAAAACCCA